rnacentral:rRNA from 1 species
AUUGCCUCAGUAACGGCGAGUGAAGCGGCAAAAGCUCAAAUUUGAAAUCUGGCACCUUCGGUGUCCGAGUUGUAAUUUGAAGAAGGUAACUUUGGAGUUGGCUCUUGUCUAUGUUCCUUGGAACAGGACGUCACAGAGGGUGAGAAUCCCGUGCGAUGAGAUGCCCAAUUCUAUGUAAAGUGCUUUCGAAGAGUCGAGUUGUUUGGGAAUGCAGCUCUAAGUGGGUGGUAAAUUCCAUCUAAAGCUAAAUAUUGGCGAGAGACCGAUAGCGAACAAGUACAGUGAUGGAAAGAUGAAAAGAACUUUGAAAAGAGAGUGAAAAAGUACGUGAAAUUGUUGAAAGGGAAGGGCUUGAGAUCAGACUUGGUAUUUUGCAAGCCUUACCUUCGUGGUGGGGUCCCCUGCAGUUUACUGGGCCAGCAUCGGUUUGGAUGGUAGGAUAAUGACUUGGGAAUGUGACUUUGCUUCGGUAAAGUGUUAUAGCCCUUGUUGAUACUGCCUGUCUAGACCGAGGACUGCGUCUUUGACUAGGAUGCUGGCAUAAUGAUCUUAAGUCGCCCGUCUU